GAAUUAUUGCAGCUGCCAGCUCGGAUAGCGGGGUGAGAGCUCCCUGCUGCCAGCCGGGGAUGGGGACGGGGAUGCUCAGCCGCAGCCACCGACUGCCCUUUGUGCAGCGCCUGCAAAACAAGGCUGAGAAUAAAAGGCUGGCUGCACAAUGGAGCACGUCGACAUCAGCAGCCUUUCAGCAGCUUGAUUUGGGCUGCGAGCGAGAGCAGCGGUGAAUGAUGUGCAGCGGGGAAAGUGCUUUAGCAGCCUACAAAGCGCCGUAUGAAUUUAACACGAGCAGCAGCUAAUGCGAAUAAAACUGGGGAAAAGAUUCCUUGCCACGAUAACACGGCCUUCCCUUCCCCGUAGGAGUUCUGAGUACUUUGCAAGCAUCCAUUAAUUAAGCCUCAAAGGAGUUCCCAUCCCCAGUUUUACAGCCGGGGUGAGAUGAAGUGCUUUGCUCUAGUGCAACGCGCGUGGCAUGGGGAUGCACCAGAGCCAGGAGCCGAGCUCUCCCCACCGUGUUCCCUCUGUCUGCUGCUAAUUCAGCUGCCGGCCCGAGGAGUUUUUAACUUCCCAGCUCCUGACCUUGUUGGGCUGCUCAGAGGCUGGUGCCCUGCGUCCUUCUUGGGGUGUUUCCAGCCCUG